ensembl:Y_RNA Y_RNA Y RNA
GGCUGGUCCAAGUACAGUAGUGUUGAAAACUUAUUGGUCACAACCAGUUAUGGAUUUCUCUUUUCCUUCACUACUCCCAUUGUUUACAUUGACUAGCCUAAA